GGCAUUUCUCCCAGAAGUGUUACAAAUAAACACCUGAACACUUUCUCCUUCAGAACCAGAAGGUUUAAAUAGAAUUCUAUUUAGGUUUUUGAAUUGUGACAUAUGUUAAUCCCAAUGAGAGUCUCUGCGUGAAAGGAAUGUUAGCAGAAUUUUAACAUGGUAUUAUGAGGAUAAUUUGCCACUUUGAGUAAAAAUGCUAUACAUUUUCUGACCUUUGGGAGUUUAAACCUAUAGGAAAGAAGUCAACAAACUAUAGUUUGAUGAUCUGAGACCAACCAUUAUGCAUUAAGAGGAGUGGGAGAGAUUAACAUACACAGUGGAUGUGUAACAAUGACGUAUGUGACAAUUCAAAUAAAUGUGCAGAAUUCUCACUCUGGUGAAGACUGACAGGAUCAUCUACUAAAUACAAAGGAGUUAAAAUUCUCAGAAAGAAAAAUGGAAUUUUUUUGGAAUUCAGCUAGAGACAUGGAUUUGGAAAGAGAAAGAAAAAAUUAGUCUUUGUUUGUUUGUAAUGGCCAGUUGAUAAGAGAAAAGUGAUCCUAGAAAUUAUAGUCCCUGCUACUCAGUCCUGGAGCCACUGAGGGAAAAAUACAACCGAAACUUUCAAUACCUAAUGAAUUUUCUCCAACUUACGUGAGUGCGUGUAUAACGGCAUUAAGAUUUACACUUGGAAUGUCCCCUUACAUAUUUAAUUCUAAUUAGUUCAAAUACGUUCACUUCAGCAAACAUUAAUUGAG
rnacentral:lncRNA from 1 species